rnacentral:rRNA from 1 species
UACGUAGGCAGCGAGCGUUGUUCGGAAUUACUGGGCGUAAAGAGUGUGUAGGCGGUGCUCCCAGUCAGUUGUGAAAUCUCCCGGCUUAACUGGGAGGGUGCAGCGGAAACUAGAGUGCUAGAGGGUGGGAGAGGUAAGCGGAAUUCCUGGUGUAGCGGUGAAAUGCGUAGAUAUCAGGAGGAACACCUGUGGUGUAGACAGCUUACUGGACCACUUCUGACGCUGAGACACGAAAGCGUGGGUAGCAAACAGG